rnacentral:rRNA from 1 species
UUUGAUCCUGGCUCAGAACGAACGCUGGGGUGGGCUUAACACAUGCAAGUCGAGCGAGACCUUCGGGUCUAGCGGCGGACGGGUGAGUAACGCGUGGGAACAUACCCUUCUCUACGGAAUAGUCUCGGGAAACUGGGUUUAAUACCGUAUACGCCCUUCGGGGGAAAGAUUUAUCGGAGAAGGAUUGGCCCGCGUUGGAUUAGGUAGUUGGUGGGGUAAUGGCCUACCAAGCCGACGAUCCAUAGCUGGUUUGAGAGGAUGAUCAGCCACACUGGGACUGAGACACGGCCCAGACUCCUACGGGAGGCAGCAGUGGGGAAUCUUAGACAAUGGGGGCAACCCUGAUCUAGCCAUGCCGCGUGAGUGACGAAGGCCCUAGGGUCGUAAAGCUCUUUCGCCAGGGAAGAUAAUGACGGUACCUGGUAAAGAAACCCCGGCUAACUCCGUGCCAGCAGCCGCGGUAAUACGGAGGGGGUUAG